rnacentral:rRNA from 1 species
UACAGAGGGUGCAAGCGUUGUUCGGAAUUAUUGGGCGUAAAGCGCGUGUAGGCGGCUUUGCAAGUCGGGUGUGAAAGCCCUCAGCUCAACUGAGGAAGUGCGCCCGAAACUGCAGAGCUUGAGUGCCGGAGAGGGUGGCGGAAUUCCCCAAGUAGAGGUGAAAUUCGUAGAUAUCGGGAGGAACACCGGUGGCGAAGGCGGCGACCUGGGUAGAUACUGACGCUGAGGUGCGAAAGCGUGGGGAGCAAACAGG